GCUGACUCAGUGCCAGGGGCGAUGGUAAUAGGUGAGGGGGAUGCUGUAUUAGGAAUGACGGGUCGUAAGGGGCACGGAGGCGGAGAUGAAAGUGUGAUGUGGAAUGCCGGGGCUCAGCCGUGGAAUGGGAGCUGAGUGUGGUGAGCUAGAGGGCGGGAGAGGGGGGUGGAAGUCCGGGUGUAGCGGUGAAAUUCGUAGAUAUCCGGAGGAACACCAGUGGCGAAGGCGGCCCACUGGAUUGAUACUGACGCUGAGGUGCGAAAGCGUGGGGAUCAAACAGGAUUAGAUACCCCUGUAGUC
rnacentral:rRNA from 1 species